AAUGCUGUGACGCAAAUUAACAAAGUAACACAUGAUGAAAAUACAAAUUAAAGAAACAAUGUAAGCAAGUUAGAUAAAAAGAAAAGAAAAGCAGUAGAGAAUGAAUUUGGUUUAUAGAAUAUACAUGGAAGGUGCUCACAACUAGAGCCACCACCCCACCCUAUGAAGAAUUUUACAUUUCUCACCCUCAAACGUCAAACCCCACGCAACGCUCUUCUGGGGGAAAAAAAAUGAUAAACCACUGUCAACCAUCAACAAGAAUAUUAGAAGAGGUUAAACAACCAAAAAACAUUAGAAACCUUUCCUCCCAACCUCCAACCAUCACUAAUAACUCUUCAGAGACGUGAGGGGAGAACCGACACCCCCCCACCCCCAAAAAAAACGAAAAAGAAAAAAAAUCAUAUACAUACACAACGUGCACUGUUAAUGUCCCAAGUCCUCACUAGCUAUGCCAACACUUGACUUGUCAACCAUCCGCACAUUGUAUUGUUCGUAUACUCUUGCCCGGUUCUCUGCCCACCAUGUUUCCGCUUGCUUCUCACUAAAUCGCUUCCGACUGCAUUCAAGCAUUUCACAGCAAAAUCAGGAGGAAUCCUCCAUGCUUUACAUUUUCAACAUUUUAGCCUAAACUAAUCGUCUCACCUCUUCAAAUGAUAGACCAGGGCAUACUUUAUAGUUACUAGUAUGCCAAAAAAGAAAAGAGAUGAAAAAACUGCUAUAUAUUCUAAACCAUGGUUCAAUAACAUGAAAAAAAAAUAAAAAGGUAGUUUUCGCUAUGGAAUGGACCGAAUGGUUAUGUAGUUAUACCAGACAUAUUAGGAAAAUUAAACAUUAAAUUGGAAGGUAUUACAUUAGAAAAACAUAGGACUAAAGCUGAAUGCAACAUACCUGAAACGAACUCGCUUCAGAUCUUUGAGUCCUCCAGGUAGCGAGGUAAGAGUGAUAUAAACACCAGGCUCAUCUUGCUCAACCCACUCAUUUUCACUACGAGGAUCACUUUCUUUUGGUCUAUUACCAUUUCUUGUUCCAUCUGUAUGUGCUGGUCUGCUGUGACCCAAACUGCGAUUACUUGCAGUGCCAGACCCAUUAGUAAGCAAUGGGUUGUUUGACUCAUUUGAUUCCAGAUCCAAGGUAUUUGUUUGACCAUUCACUCGAUCAAUAGAAACAAUUGAAACAUCAUUAGGUAUUGAAGGGGGAAUAAGUGGAUUGAAGGGCGGAGAUUUGGUGCUUCUGGUAGAACCCACAGGAAGUCUUUCAGCCAUUUCCUUCAGCUGCACAAUAGAAAACAUCAUCAAGCUCCUAUGAAUUAUUUUUUAGUCAGACAUGACCAUUUAUAUCAAUGAGAACUUCAAAGAUUAUUUCAGAAGAGUUCAAGAACUGGACUUUCAUCCACAUCUGGCAGGAUUAUACAACUAAAAGAAACUUUGUGAACGAGAUUCCCAAAGCUAUUGAAGGAACAAGAAAAAGCCAAUUAAUUAGCUCCAGCACUAGACAGCAAACAAAUAUCUUAACAGUGAUGGGCAACAUCAAGAAUCUCUACAAGGUAAGAAUAUUUCUACUAGCAGUUGAUUCUUCCAGGUAGUUCAACAUCAUAAAAGUGUGAGGGCCGAAAUUAAAAAGGAAGAAUGUAAAAAAAGUGAAGUACUAGCUAAGGUGUUCUUGGAUAUGUGGGCUUCAGAUAUGUGAAAGCAAAUAUAUAUAUAUAUAUAUAUAUAUAUAUAUAUAUAUAUAUAUAUAUAUAUAAGGAUUUUGAAGCAUAUUUGGUCAAGAGAUAUUCGGAUAAUUCGGACGAAUCUCAGAAUUUUGAGAAGGGUCAUCAGAAUUUUGGGAAGAAAAAAUUAAAUUUUGCGAAACAGAAUUUGAUCCAUAGGGGAUCAAACCAUUUUUAAAAUCCACACAUGAUAAAUAUAAGUGAUGAGGAGUAAACUCUGCAUCAAUGUUGUGCAAUUAACAUGACUGAAAUAUUUCUUUUAUAUUAUUAUCAUUGACACAAUUAUUAUUAUUAUUUCAAAUAUUUUGUGCAGCGCUGACUUGACAGGGCUGACCUUAUCAAUCGGAAAUUAUCUUGGCAGCUCAACGACUCAGCUCCAAGCUCAAGACUCAUGUAAUAAAGGCUUAGGCCAAUUAUUUAAAUUAAUGGGCCUUAGAGGAGAAAUGGGCAAAGCUCACUUAAUAGCAUAUAAAUAGGGUUAUUUCAUUUUUACUCACAAGUUAGAAAAGUUAGUCAUUCUUCCAUUUCUCAAUUCAUUUUCUCACCAUGUAAAAUGUAAACACUCUCCAAAAAUAUAGUGAAACACCCAAAACUCCACCCGUGGAUGUAGAUCUUAUGAUCAAACCACGUAAAUUCUUGUGUCGUUUAUCGUUUUAUAGUUAGGUGUUGAUUUUGAAUUCAUCAACUGGCGCCGUCUGUGGAAAAAUAGAGCUAAGGCGUGAGAUUAAUCAGUUUUUCGGUUACUGUUCAUCGAAAAAGAAAAUCAUUUUCUAGCGAUUUCUUUUUCAGUUUCCGGCGACAGGGGCCGAUCCAUCUCAAUCUCAGUUUUCUCUCCAAAAAUGGUCGUGCUCUCUCCUGCAUCCAUCGAUCUAUCAUUAUUAACCAAUUUUAAUAUUCUUCUUAAUUCUCGUGUCCAAAAAUUUUGGAACAAUAAUAAUGAAACAGAUAAAGUACUUUUUUAUUAAAAAAUAUUCGAUAUGAAUUUCUUAUACGGGCUAAAAUAAUAUUCUCUCCCAAAAGAACAUUGUUUCGCCAUGUGCUUCUUAAAAACAAUAAAAUUUAGUUUACGUUAAUUUAAUUUUAUCUUUUAUAUUUUUGUUAGAUGUCAUUUUUGUGCAUUUAUUUAUAUAUUUAUUUUUAUUAUAAUAUAUCUAUAUAUUAUAUGAAAAUACAAUUUAACAGUAACUUUUUUCCAUCAGAUUCUCUUUUUUGUACUUUUUUUUUUCUUUCUAUUUUGUUGAUUUAAUGCUAAAAAGCAUCAAAUUCAAUUCAUGAAAAAAAUAUUCAGUAUGUAUAUUAAACUUAAGUUCAUGAUAAAAUCUUUAAUUUAAUGUAAACAUUAUAAAAAUUAAAUUUAAAACGAAUAAGUUAUGAUCGUUUAAAAUUAAAAAAUUAUUUUUUCUAUCUCACCAACUCGAAUAGUCAAGCAUUAGUUUACAAUACCCUAAGUCGAGCGAACAUUAUUGCAUGUUGCUCGACCUCAAAUGCUCUAACUGUGAGUCAAUCGAGCAUUAGUGUGAAAUAUACUAAUGUGUGACCUCAAUUGCUCGAAAUUAAAUGAGUCGAGUGAGCAUUGAUGUAAAAUACAUAAAUACUCGAAUUCAAAUGCACAAUCGUGCUUCUAUGUUUUGAGUGAUGAAGAACGCGCUUUAGAUCUUGAAAUGCCGCCACCACAGUCAUUCCACCACCACCACCACCUGCUUUCUACGUCGAGGGAGGGUAGAUUCAACUGCAAGAGAGAGAAUGACAGAGAUGGCAGUGGAUCUACGGCGUGGGCGUGAGGUGGUGAUGGAACUACAACAUGCAUUGUCUAAGGAACGGCGAGAGAGAUUUGUAGUGGCUGAUCUAAUUUGCAGAGAGAGAGAGGAGGGGGGUAUGGCUAGGUAGGUUUAUUUUUUUUUUUUUGUUAUUGUUAUUUAUUUAUUUUAUUUUCAAUUUUAUUAAGCAUGCUAAAUUAAAAAAAUAUUUGUAUUGAUGGGUAUAGUUUCUUCUUUUUUUUUUUUUAUCAUCUACCAUCAAUCCUUUUAUUUAUUAUCAUGAGUGAAACAUAAUAUAAUAAGGUAUCUAGAUUUCGACAAAUGCUGUGACGCAAAUUAACAAAGUAACACAUGAUGAAAAUACAAAUUAAAGAAACAAUGUAAGCAAGUUAGAUAAAAAAGAAAAGAAAAAGCAGUAGAGAAUGAAUUUGGUUUAUAGAAUAUACAUGGAAGGUGCUCACAACUAGAGCCACCACCCCACCCUAUGAAGAAUUUACAUUUCUCACCCUCAAACGUCAAACCCCACGCAACGCUCUUCUGGGGAAAAAAAAUGAUAAACCACUGUCAACCAUCAACAAGAAUAUUAGAAGAGGUUAAACAACCCAAAAAAACAUUAGAAACCUUUCCUCCCCAACCCUCCAACCAUCACUAAUAACUCUUCAGAGACGUGAGGGGAGAACCGACACCCCCCCCCCCC
rnacentral:lncRNA from 1 species